rnacentral:rRNA from 1 species
AACGUGGGUAACCUGCCUUAUAGUGGGGGAUAGCCUUUCGAAAGGAAGAUUAAUACCGCAUAAGAUUGUAGUAUCGCAUGAUAUAGCAAUUAAAGGAGCAAUCCGCUAUAAGAUGGACCCGCGUCGCAUUAGCUAGUUGGUGAGGUAAUGGCUCACCAAGGCGACGAUGCGUAGCCGACCUGAGAGGGUGAUCGGCCACAUUGGGACUGAGACACGGCCCAGACUCCUACGGGAGGCAGCAAUG